rnacentral:rRNA from 1 species
CCUACGGGAGGCAGCAGUAGGGAAUAUUGCUCAAUGGGGGAAACCCUGAAGCAGCAACGCCGCGUGGAGGCUGAAGGUUUUCGGAUUGUAAACUCCUUUUGUUAAAGAAGAUAAUGACGGUAUCUAACGAAUAAGCACCGGCUAACUCAGUACCAGCAGCCGCGGUAAUAAGGAGGGUGCACGCGUUACUCGGAAUCACUGGGCGUAAAGAGCGCGUAGGCGGGAUAGCAAUGCAGAUGUGAAAUCCUAAGGCUUAACCAUAGGACUGAAUUUGACACUGGUAUUCGAGAGGAUUGGAGAGGUAGGUGGAAUUCUUUGUGUAGGGGUAAAAUCCGUAGAGAUCAAGAGGAAUACUCAUUGCGAAGGCGACCUGCUAGAACAUAACUGACGCUGAUGCGCGAAAGCGUGGGGAGCAAACAGGAUUAGAUACCCUGGUAGUC